GUUCUCACUUCAGCAGCACAUAUACUAAAAUUGGAAUGAGACAGAGAAGAUUAGCAUGGUCCCUGCACAAGGAUAUUAUGCAAACUGAUAAAGUACUCUAUAUUAAA